CAGGUGAGAUUAUGACUUUGAUAUGCAGACACAGCUAACAGUAUUGUCGCCUUGGUGCUAGGCCCAGCAGUACAACUCAAUUCUUUUUUAGGACUGUGAGCCCUAGGAGCAGCAAAAGUCACAUCAACUAGGUGCUGGGUCCAGUAAUAUGUCACCAUAUCCCUUGACAAGACAGCACAGUUUCAGAUAUGACAGUCAACACAUCCUGAAUGUUGGGUCCAACUACAUGAGGCACGUCUCAUCAGUGAACCAGAUCUAUGCGUCAUAGCCUCAAUUCCUAUUGCAUGUUGUGUUGACUUAAUGGAGUCCCAGUUUUCUUGGUGUGCUGAAUCCUGGUCUGAGAGUCACCAACCCACCUGUGGACCACAUUUAUGUAUAAGAGCCUUUUUUAAAAAAAAUCUUCUGACUGCCUCUGGUUGUUAGAUUUAGAACCUCA
rnacentral:lncRNA from 1 species